CACAGCCCCCGGGUUUGGCCCAAGCACGCCGGCCCCCGCUGAGCCAGGAAACGCCGCCGGGCUCCCCUGAGGACUCCAGCACCUACUGACAUUUAGUUAAGGCUCCACGUUCCAGAACUUCUGCUGAGUCACAGCUGGGAGCCCGCUGUGCGGCUGUCCGUUCCGUUCUCUAAAUCCGCUUCCCUGAGUUCGGCUUCCCCUGCCCUGGCCAUCUGACCUUGACCUGACUGAUCUCAGAGACGCCGGUGGGAGCCGCGAAAGAGGCGAAAGAGGCGAGGCUUCCGGGGAGGGCGGCGGCUCGGCUUCAGAAGAGCUGCUCGGCCUGCGGGGACAGGUUCGCCUGAAUGCGAGUCUCUGUCCCUCCUGGCACCACCGUGGCGGCCGGGAGGGCGUGCCCGGCCCCAGGGCCCCGCACAGCACGAGGCAGGACAGGUUGCCGAGAGCAUCCUGGAAGCCGCGUGGCCGGCGUGUGGCCCUGGCGCUUGGCUCCCACCCCUGCCACUCUCUCACUGGGGACUCCCUUCUGGGCUUGGAGGUCUGUGAGCAAAGUGAGAAAACACACAAUUCUGUUCUUCUGUCCCUCUUCAUGUGGGAAGGAGCCCUGGCAGGUGUAAGCAGGAGAAGGAAGCUGAAACGUUAGAAAAUGCAGAUCAUAGAUCCUACACCGAGUAACGUUACUACCAAGCACCAGCAGAGAUUCCCAUGCCCUCCUGUCUGAGAAGAGUUGUGCUUUUUGAGGAUAUUCUCCCAAAGACAGCCCAGGGCACGUUCAUGCUAUUAAUGGAUCAGAGAUGGAAAAUGAUGUUCUGCUGUUUCCCGCCCAAUCAAGUUCUUCCCCGGGCCAGAACCCCAGCCCAGGUGAUGCAAUCUUAGCACCAAUUCACAAGGCUUACCAGUCUUCAUGAUUUUUUACAUUUAAUGAAAAGAUAUCCUUUAAGCUGACAGGCAAUGUUAAGUCACUGGUAGCCAGCAGACGCCGUAGGUCACAGAUAAUUGAUAUCCAGCGAUAAUCCCCAAACCUCAUUUGCAUCAGUAAUUCCAAAGCCCCCCCUGCUCUUACUGGAGCUGCUAAUCAUGCAGGCCCCUUGCCUGGGGUGCGCCCCCCUGCUCCUGCCUCAGCUCACCUCCCAGUGGAAGCGCUGAGGACUGAACAGGCCCGCCGGCAGACCGCCAGCCAAGGGAGAAGCUGCUAUUUUCCAAGCAGAAAAUAACUGAGCCGCUACAUGCACGUGCCCCAUUUCACAUACAGCUAACACCCCAAAAUCCAAGCCUUAAAACCUACAAAUUAGUGCAUGAGGAGUACCACAAACAGAGGUGUGUUACAAACAGUUUUUUGCUUCAUAAACAGACUCACUAUGAGAUUCUUUAGGCCAAUGGGUAUUAAUUUCUACAGGUUCUCAGACUCUUUCGAGAAAUUAAAGAACACUAUGGAUCCUUUCCCCCCAAAAUUGUAUUCACACAUAUAUACAUAAAAUUUCACUUACAAUAUUGUGGGUUUCACAGAACUGAGCAGCUUGUAAAUACAACACACUACAUUAGGGCUAAUGUGAGGAAUAAAUAGAUGUGUGGAAGCAACCUAAGUGUCCAUCGACAGAUGGAUGGAUAAAGAAGAGGUGGGACAUAUACACAAUGGAAUAUUACUCAGCCAUAAAAAAGAAUGAAAUAAUGCCGUUUGCCACAACAUGGAUGGGCUUGGAGGGCAUUAUGCUCAGUGAAAUAAGUCAGACAGAGAAAGACAAAUAUGUGAUCUCAUAUAUAAGUGGAAUCUAAAAAAUACAACAAACUAGUGAAUAUAACAAAAAAGAAGCAGAGCCACAGAUAUAGAGACCAAACUGGUGGUCACCAGUGGGGAGGGGGUAAGGAGCAAUAUAGGGGUGGGUGUUUAAGAGGUACAAACUAUUGGGUGUAAGACAGACUCAAGGAUGUAUUGUACAACACGGGGAAUAGAGCCAAUAUUCUGUAAUAACUGUAGAUGGAAAGUAAGAUUUAAAAAUUGUAUUAAAAAUUUAAAAAGAAGAGCAAAUAGAUGUGAUCUUUUUCUUCUAUUAGCUUACAGUCUAUAAGAAAGAAGAAUGUACCAUAUAAGACUGGCUGUGUUAAGGGCUGUAAUGAAAGUGCA